rnacentral:miRNA from 1 species
CUACCUGCACAACGUGGAGAGU